rnacentral:pre_miRNA from 1 species
AGUGGGAUUGCUGGAUUAUAUGAUAGUUCUGAUUUGAAUUUUCUGAGAAACCUUCAUAUUUUUCUCCAUAAUGGGUGUACUACUUUACUUUUCCACCAACAGU